UGUAAUUUAGUGUGUUGUAGGGGCAUAGUGCAUUUUGGUUGCAUUGGUGGCUUGUGGCCC
rnacentral:tRNA from 1 species